rnacentral:tRNA from 1 species
GGGCGAGUGGCGGAACGGUAUACGCAGCGGACUUAAAAUCCGCCAGGGCAACCUGUGAGGGUUCGAAUCCCUCCUCGCCCACCA